GGGGAUAUAGCUCAGUGAUAGAGUACUUGCCUAGGAUACAUGGGGCUCUGGAUUCAAUCCCUAGUAUCACCA
rfam:Ictidomys tridecemlineatus contig054075, whole genome shotgun sequence.